rnacentral:rRNA from 1 species
UACAGAGGAUUCGAGCGUUAUCCGGAUUUAGUGGGUUUAAAGCGUGCGUAGGCGGAGUGUUAAGUCGGUUGUGAAAGCUGACGGCUCAACCGGGGAAUUGCAGUUGAUACUGUUGGUCUAGAGUAUGCAAGAGGUAGGCGGAACUUGAGGUGUAGCGGUGAAAUGCUUAGAUAUCUCGAAGAACUCCGAUUGCGAAGGCAGCUCACUGGG